GGAUCAUUACCGAGUUUACAAACUCCCAAACCCUUUGUGAACCUUACCAUAUCGUUGCUUCGGCGGGACCGCCCCGGCGCCCUCGCGGCCCGGAACCAGGCGCCCGCCGGAGGCCCCAAACUCUUAUGUCUUUAGUGGUUUUCUCCUCUGAGUGACACAUAAACAAAUAAAUAAAAACUUUCAACAACGGAUCUCUUGGUUCUGGCAUCGAUGAAGAACGCAGCGAAAUGCGAUAAGUAAUGUGAAUUGCAGAAUUCAGUGAAUCAUCGAAUCUUUGAACGCACAUUGCGCCCGCCAGUAUUCUGGCGGGCAUGCCUGUUCGAGCGUCAUUUCAACCCUCAGGCCCCCAGUGCCUGGUGUUGGGGAUCGGCAGCAGGGCGUCAAGCCCGCCGUCCCCGAAAUCUAGUGGCGGUCUCGCUGUAGUCCUCCUCUGCGUAGUAGCACAACCUCGCAGCUGGAACGCGGCGGUGGCCAUGCCGUUAAACACCCCACUUCUGAAAGUUGACCUCGGAUCAGGUAGGAAUACCCGCUGAACUUAAGCAUAUCAAUAAGCGGAGGAAAAGAAACCAACAGGGAUUGCCUCAGUAACGGCGAGUGAAGCGGCAACAGCUCAAAUUUGAAAUCUGGCCCCAGGCCCGAAUUGUAAUUUGCAGAGGAUGCUUUUGGCAAGGUGCCUUCCGAGUUCCCUGGAACGGGACGCCAUAGAGGGUGAGAGCCCCGUCUGGUCGGACACCGAGCCUCUGUAAAGCUCCUUCGACGAGUCGAGUAGUUUGGGAAUGCUGCUCAAAAUGGGAGGUAUAUGUCUUCUAAAGCUAAAUACCGGCCAGAGACCGAUAGCGCACAAGUAGAGUGAUCGAAAGAUGAAAAGCACUUUGAAAAGAGAGUUAAAUAGCACGUGAAAUUGUUGAAAGGGAAGCGUUUAUGACCAGACUUGGCCCGGUUGAUCAUCCAGCGUUCUCGCUGGUGCACUCUGCCGGUCCAGGCCAGCAUCAGUUCGCCGCGGGGGAUAAAGGUUUCGGGAAUGUAGCUCUCUUCGGGGAGUGUUAUAGCCCGUUGCGUAAUACCCUGCGGUGGACUGAGGUCCGCGC
rnacentral:rRNA from 1 species